AUUGAACGCUGGCGGAAUGCUUUACACAUGCAAGUCGAACGGCAGCACGGACUUCGGUCUGGUGGCGAGUGGCGAACGGGUGAGUAAUGUAUCGGAACGUGCCCAGUCGUGGGGGAUAACGUAGUGAAAAUUACGCUAAUACCGCAUACGAUCUAUGGAUGAAAGCGGGGGAUCGCAAGACCUCGCGCGAUUGGAGCGGCCGAUAUCAGAUUAGGUAGUUGGUGGGGUAAAGGCCCACCAAGCCAACGAUCUGUAGCUGGUCUGAGAGGACGACCAGCAGCUAGGGAACUGGGACGAGGUCGAGACUCCUGCGGGAGGCGGCAGUGGGGAAUUGUGGACAAUGGGCAAAAGCCUGAUCCAGCCAUUCGGCGUGCAGGAUGAAGGCCCUCGGGUUGUAAACUGCUUUUGUGCAGAACGAAAAGGUUUCUACUAAUACUAGGAGCUCAUGACGGUACUGUAAGAAUAAGCACCGGCUAACUACGUGCCAGCAGCCGCAGUAA
rnacentral:rRNA from 1 species